GCUGGCGUAGCUCAGUCGGUAGAGCGUUGGUCUAAUAAGCCAUUGGUCGCCGGUUCGAUCCCGUCCGUCAGCA
rfam:Naegleria gruberi genomic scaffold NAEGRscaffold_166, whole genome shotgun sequence.